CGCGUCACACCCGUGUCGCGUCGCGGGUGCACAGAGUGUAGACGGUUCACACAUUUGUUUCACAUGACGAGGCAGUUGAUAAAGCGAGCGUAUCUCUCUCUCUGAAUUUUGUCGAGGAGUCUGCAAGUAAUGAUGAUACGCCCGAUUGGCGGCUAUCCGACGGUGAUUGUAAAUAGAUGAUUGAGCGCUGCCCGAGUGUGCACAUCCACGUUAAACAUGGAGAGCCUGGAACGCUGCGUGAGGUCCCUGGACGAGAACGAGGCCGACGUCCGUAACGAAGCACGACGAGCGUUGUUAAGUAUCUGCCGUAGCGUGCUGGGGUCGCCGAGCGACGACAAGUCCCGCGAGUUGCGUCUCGACAACGAGGUGGUCACGGAGAAGCUCCUGCCAGCUAUCGGCGCGAUGGAAUGCCUGUUCGACGUCGGUUACGUUGAGGAUGGAGAACGCAUAUUCCUGCCGCAUGACGCAUCUCUCUCGAGGCUCGAAGGUUUGUCGAGACUGUUAUCCACUGCCGUGUCACGGAGCACUCCCGCAAUCAGGGACACCGUAAGGAGCUCCUCAGGAGCGCAGAAGGCAUUCUUCGACAGAAUCACUGGACACUUUCACAGCGUCAUGCAUUACGAGGAUCCUAACUUGCAGCAGAAGGCGAGGCGCGUUGUGCCCGUGGCGCAAUUAGAAAUUGCAGUAAUGACCAAGAUGAGGGAGCUGCAAAGAUCUUUGAAGUUAAAUGGCGCGGAAGAAGCCGCGCAGUUCGAGACAGAACUCGUUGCCAAAGAUUUACUUUUGAUCGAGCUUCUGCGCUGGUUCAAGCACGAAUUCUUCAAAUGGGUCAACAGUCCGGCGUGUUCGGUGUGCUCUAUGGAAUGCGUGUACGAAAGUGUGACGCCGUCCGCGGACCCUCGAUGCUCGAGGAUAGAGUUGCACAGAUGUGAAAAGUGCAAUAUAGUUGUCGAAUUUCCUCGUUAUUCGCAUCCAGAGCCAUUGCUGACGCUGAGACGCGGCCGCUGCGGGGAAUGGGCUAACGUGUUCACGCUUCUCUGUCGAUCAUUGGGCUACGACGCACGAUUCGUGUGCGACGAGACGGAUCACGUCUGGACGGAGGUAUGGUCCAUAGCAAACGAGAGGUGGAUUCACCUAGAUCCUUGCGAGAACGCGACAGACAAACCGUUAAUGUACGAAAAGGGAUGGAAGAAGAAGUUGACGUAUAUAAUCGCUUACUCGAGGGACGAGGUGCAAGAUGUCACGUGGCGUUACACUCGGGACCAAGAAGCUGUCAUGAAAAGACGGAGGACUUGCGCCGAGCAGAGCUUGAUGCGAUUCGUUCGAUCGUUGAGCGAGCAACGGCAGAAUUCUAGCGGUUACAGUAGUGCGCGCAGAGAGUACGUCGUCAAGCGCAGUCUGCUGGAGCUUGCCGGUAUGCUGUACAUUCCAAACUCGCGGGAUCAGGAUUCCGACGAGAGUUACGAGGGACGGACCUCGGGUUCGAUCGCGUGGAGAUUGGCGCGAGGUGAAAUCUCUCAGGUGAACACAGAGAAGAAUUGUACUUGGGAGCUUUCCAAAUACGGGCAAUCAUUCGAAUUGCGAUAUAACAUCGUUAGUGACGUAUACCACGUUGUGCAUAAUGGUACCACUUUGGAGCAGAAGUCUGGGUGGCUGGAAGGCAUGAACGCCACGGAGGGUGGGAUCUUCCGUAAAGUGGAGAACGAUUGGAGAAUGGUUUAUUUAGCGCGAUCACCACGGGCGGAGCACGGACGUGUUAAGUGGACUUUCGAGAUCGCGAAUUCCAGAUCGAGCCUGGAGGCAUUCGGUCUCGAAGCUAAAUCAAAAGCGUUUCACGGAGCCAGCGUAUCGUGGCAAGUCGAGGCUGUCUUUGAUGACGAUAGGGCGAUUGUAAUACCUGUUCCUAGCUGCAACAGCUUCCGCACGGAAGAGGUACGGGGAGCGGUGAAAUUAAACGUAAUCGUCAAGUUGUCCGGCGGAGAAGGUGAACUUGCCUGGCAACACGCCCAGCUGUUUCGGCAAAGUCUCGAGAAGAUCGACGAGCCGUCUAUGAUAAUUAGUAUAAAACUGAGAAAUCGCGCAUGACUCGUAUAAAGCUCCAACUCUUGUUAAAGAUUUCUUCCAACAUGGAAUCAUGUGAAGAAGUUUGCAAAGGAUCUAAAUCUAAACGCGGUUUCGUACAAAGUUGGCUAAACGAUGAUCGAUUCAAAGAUUGGUUACGUCAAGUACCGAAUGACGAGAGUCAGUAUCAUUGCACGAUAUGUAAUCAAGAUUUUUCGUGCAAUGCGUCACGCGUCUCCAGCCAUACUGAGUCUGCGUGCCAUGAAAACAGUUUGAAAAGAUUAAUAAAAGAUAUGAGUACUUUUAAAUUCUGGUUAGGUGUAGUUCCAGAUGACGCAAGUAUGUUGUCUUGUAAGAUUUGCGGAAGAACGUUUGUUGCCAAAUUAUCGCAGGUCCGUCGGCACGCACGAUCGCGAAAGCAUUUAAAAUGUGUAAGAGAAAAGGAAUUGAAAUGAGCGAGUCGAAUGACGAUACGCAAGACGCGAAUCUCCAGGGUCUGACGCAAGACAUUGAGAAUCUUUUGCUGUUUGAUGAACGUAAAAACAUUGCGGAAAUGCAAUUUGCUGCUCUCGUCGCGGAAAAUGAUAUACCUUUUCAAACUGCAGAAGAACUUCUGAGCCUUUUUCAAUCAAUAGACAAAGAUGUGCUGAAAAGCAUGAAAAUGGAUUGAUGGCAAGUUGCUGCCCAUUCUGUUGUAGGAACUCCUUAACAUCGAACAUGCAAUGAUCGAGUUUUACAAGUUAGCUGCUUUUGAUGUAUCCACGGCAAGUUUCUUACAAAGAGUCCGAUAUUGUUUCAAUAUUAUUAUUAUUAUUCUCAUUACGUUAUUCUAAUUACGUUUAUGUUUAAUUUAAUAAAUUAUUACUCCCCGGAUUUUGUAAAUGCUAUAAGAAUGAUAAAGGAAAAAGCAUUUUCAGUGAGAUUUUGUCCAGAGCUAAUAAUGGUGAGAAAUUUAUAUAAUAUGCCUCGAUUAUUACUUUAAGUUAAUUAAUAUAUGUAAGAAGAGUUGUACAUUCUCGGAUGACUUCAAUAUUUUUUCACUAAUAACUUACAUUUAGUUAAACUGAACUUUUCAUAUUAAACAUAUGUAAUAUUGAUGUAUAUGAUAUUAUAGAGCUUGCAGAGCAAAAUUAUCACGAUUAAUAAACCAAAGGUUAUGUAAAGUA